UAACGCGUGGGUAACCUGCCUCAUACAGGGGGAUAACAGUUAGAAAUGGCUGCUAAUACCGCAUAAGACCACAGUACUGCAUGGUACAGUGGUAAAAACUCCGGUGGUAUGAGAUGGACCCGCGUCUGAUUAGGUAGUUGGUGAGGUAACGGCCCACCAAGCCGACGAUCAGUAGCCGACCUGAGAGGGUGACCGGCCACAUUGGGACUGAGACACGGCCCAGAUUCCUACGGGAGGCAGCAGUGGGGAAUAUUGCACAAUGGGCGAAAGCCUGAUGCAGCGACGCCGCGUGAAGGAUGAAGUAUUUCGGUAUGUAAACUUCUAUCAGCAGGGAAGAAAAUGACGGUACCUGACUAAGAAGCCCCGGCUAACUACGUGCCAGCAGCCGCGGUAAUACGUAGGGGGCAAGCGUUAUCCGGAUUUACUGGGUGUAAAGGGAGCGUAGACGGCUGUGCAAGUCUGAAGUGAAAGGCAUGGGCUCA
rnacentral:rRNA from 1 species